rnacentral:rRNA from 1 species
UACUAAAGUUGUUGCGGUUAAAAAGCUCGUAGUUGAAAUUGUGUCCUGCGGCGUCGGUCUACCGGUUGCGGUACGACAGGCGCGUCUGCGGGGCUUCUCGCCGGUGCGUGUUCACCGCCGACGCGUCGCCGCGCUCGCGUAGCGGCGUCGAGGCGGGCCCUCGCGGCUGUUUACUUUGAACAAAUUAGAGUGCUCAAAGCGGGCUAAUAUUCGCCUGAAUAUUGUGCGCAUGGAAUAAUAGAAUAGGACCUCGGUUCUGUUUUGGGCUUUCUGAUACCAGAGGUAAUGAUUAAUAGGGACAACUGGGGGCAUUCGUAUUGCGACGUUAGAGGUGAAAUUCUUGGAUCGUCGCAAGACGGACUAAAGCGAAAGCAUUUGCCAAAGGUGUUUUCAUUAAUCAAGAACGAAAGUUAGAGGUUCGAAGGCGAUUAGAUACCGCUGUAGUUCUAACCAUAAAUGAUGCCAGCCAGCGAUCCGCCGAAGUUUCUUAUUUUGAUUCGGUGGGCAGCUCCCGGGAAACCAAAGCUUUC